UACGGAGGGUGCGAGCGUUGUCCGGAAUCACUGGGCGUAAAGGGCGCGUAGGCGGCCUGAUAAGUAGGGGGUGAAAUCCUGCGGCUUAACCGCAGGGCUGCCUUCUAAACUGUCAGGCUCGAGCACAGUAGAGGCAGGUGGAAUUCCCGGUGUAGCGGUGGAAUGCGUAGAGAUUGGGAAGAACACCAAUGGCGAAGGCAGCACUCUGGGACGUGACUGACGCUGAGACGCGAAAGCGUGGGGAGCAAACAGGG
rnacentral:rRNA from 1 species